AAAGGGGUUAGAUUAAAUCUAUGUUCUCUUGAUACAAAUUAAUCUUCGUUUUUUUAUUAUUUAUUUAUUUUUAUUAAUGAUGUUUAAUACUAUGUCUGGGUCAAACCAGUGUUAGACCGGAUUGGGUCGCACGAGUUACUGGUCCAACCGCCCAGUUCAUCUGGUUCACUGGUUUUUUAACAUGAGUUGCUACAACUGAAAUGAGAAAGGGAAGCAAUAAGCCACGACUCAAACUGGUGUACCACUUCUCUAGGUAUGCAUCCGUAUACUGGACAAGGUGCAACAGCCUACAUCCCUACGUUUACGUUUACUCUGUUCAUUGCUCCCUAUGCAAUGAAGUUUAAAUUAACGCACUUCUCGGUAUAACUUGGAUGAUAUUCAACGAUUCUCUAGAAAAACUAAAAGAUUUUCAGUUCUCAUCUACAUCAACUUGGUCUCUGAUUCAUUAACAGUUCAGUAGCGUUCGAUUCAUAGAAUAAAAUCCCUCUUUUAUUUACUAAUCUUGGCGUUCGAUUUAUUAGCGUCCUACAUAUUGUGUUUGUUGAUUCAAUCAAUCGUUGUUGCAUAACCUCUAUCUCAUUAUUUAAUUU